GCCAGCAUGGCAUAGUGAUUUGAAUGCUGGACUAUGACUCUGGAGACCAGGAUUCGAAUCCCUGCUCGGCCA